rnacentral:rRNA from 1 species
AUUGAACGCUGGCGGCAGGCCUAACACAUGCAAGUCGAACGAGUGGCGGACGGGUGAGGAAUGUCUGGGAAACUGCCCGAUGGAGGGGGAUAACUACUGGAACCGGUAGCUAAUACCGCAUACCAUCGGAUGUGCCCAGGUGGGAUUUGCUAGUAGGUGGGGUAACGGCUCACCUAGGCGGCGGUCCCUAGCUGGUCUGAGAGGAUGACCAGCCACACUGCAACUGAGACACGGUCCAGACUCCUACGGGAGGCAGCAGUGGGGAAUAUUGCACAAUGGGCGCAAGCCUGAUGCAGCCAUGCCGCGUGUAUGAAGAAGGCCUUCGGGUUGUAAAGUACUUUCAGCGAGGAGGCGUUACUCGCAGAGGAAGCACCGGCUAACUCCGUGCCAGCAGCCGCGGUAAUAC